CCCUUAGAUGUUCUGGGCCGCACGCGCGCUACACUGAUGCAUUCAACGAGCCUAUCCUUGACCGACAGGUCCGGGUAAUCUUUGAAUCUGCAUCGUGACGGGGAUAGAUUAUUGCAAUUAUUAAUCUUCAAGGAGGAAUGCCUAGUAGGCGCAAGUCAUCAGCUUGCGUCGAUUACGUCCCUGCCCUUUGUACACACCGCCCGUCGCUCCUACCGAUUGGGUGUGCUGGUGAAAUGUUCGGAUCGGCCGUUUGUCGCGGUUUCCGCGUCAUGUGGCUGAGAAGUUCAUUAAACCCUCCCACCUAGAGGAAGGAGAAGUCGUAACA
rnacentral:rRNA from 1 species